rnacentral:sRNA from 1 species
AGCGAUCUGGACCAGACGCAUUUUCGCGGUCGCGGGGGGGACCUCGACUGAGCCGUAGAAGGUCUUU